rnacentral:tRNA from 1 species
CAGUAUAUAGUUUAUAAUAAUAUGGAUUUUGGAUAUCUAAGGUAUGUAAUACAAUUACAUUAUACUGA